rnacentral:rRNA from 1 species
GACGAACGCUGGCGGCGUGCUUAACACAUGCAAGUCGAACGGAAAGGCCCUGCUUUUGUGGGGUGCUCGAGUGGCGAACGGGUGAGUAACACGUGAGUAACCUGCCCUUGACUUUGGGAUAACUUCAGGAAACUGGGGCUAAUACCGGAUAGGAGCUCCUGCUGCAUGGUGGGGGUUGGAAAGUUUCGGCGGUUGGGGAUGGACUCGCGGCUUAUCAGCUUGUUGGUGGGGUAGUGGCUUACCAAGGCUUUGACGGGUAGCCGGCCUGAGAGGGUGACCGGCCACAUUGGGACUGAGAUACGGCCCAGACUCCUACGGGAGGCAGCAGUGGGGAAUAUUGGACAAUGGGCGGAAGCCUGAUGCAGCAACGCCGCGUGCGGGAUGACGGCCUUCGGGUUGUAAACCGUUUUCGCCUGUGACGAAGCGUGAGUGACGGUAAUGGGUAAAGAAGCACCGGCUAACUACGUG